rnacentral:rRNA from 1 species
AUUGAACGCUGGCGGCAUGCCUUACACAUGCAAGUCGAACGGUAACGGGCCUUCGGGUGCCGACGAGUGGCGAACGGGUGAGUAAUAUAUCGGAACGUACCUUUCAGUGGGGGAUAACGUAGCGAAAGUAACGCUAAUACCGCAUAUUCUGUGCGCAAGAAAGCAGGGGACCUUCGGGCCUUGCGCUGAUUGAGCGGCCGAUAUCAGAUUAGCUAGUUGGUGAGGUAAAGGCUCACCAAGGCGACGAUCUGUAGCGGGUCUGAGAGGAUGAUCCGCCACACUGGAACUGAGACACGGUCCAGACUCCUACGGGAGGCAGCAGUGGGGAAUUUUGGACAAUGGGGGCAACCCUGAUCCAGCCAUGCCGCGUGAGUGAAGAAGGCCUUCGGGUUGUAAAGCUCUUUCGGCCGGGAAGAAAUCGUAUGGGCUAAUACCCUGUGCGGAUGACGGUACCGGCAUAAGAAGCACCGGCUAACUACGUGCCAGCCGCCGCCGUAAGAC